rnacentral:rRNA from 1 species
CCUACGGGAGGCAGCAGUGGGGAAUUUUCCGCAAUGGGCGAAAGCCUGACGGAGCAAGACCGCGUGAGGGAGGAAGGCCCUUGGGUUGUAAACCUCUUUUGUCAGGGAAGAAGAAAGUGACGGUACCUGACGAAUCAGCCUCGGCUAACUCCGUGCCAGCAGCCGCGGUAAUACGGAGGAGGCAAGCGUUAUCCGGAAUUAUUGGGCGUAAAGCGUCCGUAGGUGGUUUUGCAAGUCUGCUGUCAAAGCACAGGGCUUAACCCUGUUAAGGCAGUGGAAACUACAAGACUGGAGUGCAGUAGGGGCAGAGGGAAUUCCCAGUGUAGCGGUGAAAUGCGUAGAGAUUGGGAAGAACACCUGUGGCGAAAGCGCUCUGCUGGACUGCAACUGACACUAAUGGACGAAAGCUAGGGGAGCGAAUGGGAUUAGAUACCCCAGUA